UACAGGCAUGCUUUCCUUUCCCCUUUCCCCCCAAUUUUCAUUUUCCCAAAUUUCCUCCCAUCUUUCCCCUUUUUUCAAUUUCCCCUUCCAUUUCCCCUCCCCUCUUUCCCCUUUCUUCGAUUUCCCCUUCCAUUUUCCCUCAUUUCCACGAGUCCGAUUUCCUCAUCACCACCACCGGAUCGACGAUUGUAGUUUGCCUGAAAACAACACGUUCUGCCCACAAUUCUCUCCUCCAACAUUCUUCUUGGUGGUUUCUUCUUUCAGCGUCCAUAUGCUGGGGCGCCAUUGAAGACCAUUUUAAAGCUUCUUCUUCUUCUUCAAUCGUAGCUGACAUUUGAAUUUGGAAAGUGGAAGCUCCUCUCUCCCUCUGAAAACAAAGAGAGAAAGGGAAUUACGAAAUUUCUGAGUUUGGCCGACCGAAGAAGAGGACAAAGUUGUUUUCAAAUUAGGGUCGUUCUUGUGAAGGAAAAUUGGGCAAAAUGAAAGAAAAUUAAAGAGGAAGUAAAGAAGAAGCUCUUUGCAGGCUUGAUUUGAAGAAAUUUGGCCAGAGAAGUAAGGAAAACGAAGAAAAACGUUGGCGCUAGAGUUAUUGCGAAAACAGAGGAUGCUCGGGUUUUUAACAAAUUCGUGGAGUAAGAGGCUAAUUCGAAGCUUCAAAUUUAAAGUGGUACCAUGGAGAGUUUGAUCGAUUCUAGGAGUUCUAGGGCAAUUCGGACGUCCAAACUUUGAGGAUAAACGGGAGAUGGAGAAACCGAAAUUAUGAGGAGGACCCGAUUAACACCUCAGGUAGCACAAGUUCUUGGUGCCUACUGAGCCGUCAAACGCCACUAGUGUUGUUAAACAUCUGUUGUAUUGUUUGUGCAUGUAUUUGAAAGUAUUCCAGAAUAGCUAAAACUUGUGAGUUACAUGUCAUGGGAGGU